UACGUAGGUGGCAAGCGUUGUCCGGAAUUAUUGGGCGUAAAGCGCGCGCAGGCGGUUGGAUAAGUCCAUGGUGAAAGCGCCUGGCUCAACUAGGCGAGUGCCGUGGGGACUGUUCAGCUGGAGUGGAGCAGAGGCGAGUGGAAUUCCGGGUGUAGUGGUGAAAUGCGUAGAGAUCCGGAGGAACACCAGAGGCGAAGGCGGCUCGCUGGGCUUUGACUGACGCUGAGGCGCGAAAGCGUGGGGAGCGAACCGG
rnacentral:rRNA from 1 species